ACACCGGCAGCUCAAGUGGUGGUCCAUUUUUAUUGGGCCUAAAGCGUUCGUAGCCGGCUUGAUAAGUCUCUGGUGAAAUCCCAUAGCUUAACUGUGGGAAUUGCUGGAGAUACUAUUAGGCUUGAGGCCGGGAGAGGUUAGGGGUACUCCCAGGGUAGGGGUGAAAUCCUAUAAUCCUGGGAGGACCACCUGUGGCGAAGGCGCCUAACUGGGACGGACCUGACGGUGAGUAACGAAAGCCAGGGGCGC
rnacentral:rRNA from 1 species